UCCCUGCUUUAUCUUCUAUUAUUUCUUCUUUUCCUUCCCAUUCGAAACGCUGUCUAUCGAAAUACUAAAACGGAAGUGGAACGAGUAUUCAUACUCGCGACAUACUCGCUUAUCCAUAGAGGAUACGAGGGUGAAAGAUCGAAUCGAAUUAAAGCGCGAUCGAUUCGACCUUUGCAAUCGUAUCGAUAGCGAAUGUAUAAUUUUUUCGUCGUUUACGAUCGCGAUGAUACAAACGCGAUACGUAUCGAUCCAUGUUCGAAGAUGAUGGAUACCGGCGAAGCUGAGAGAACAAAGAAAAAGGAAAGAGAAAAGAAAGAGAAGAAGAGGAGGAGUGCUCAUUGAAAAGUUGGAGGGUGGCAGAGGCGCGUGGCGCGGUCGCGGGUACGCAUGCGUGUACGCAAAGCUAGUAGACGCAAUACAUAGUAGAUAUGCACGUGCGCGACGUAACGCGUGUGAGCGAAGCUGUUCUCACGCGGCGACACGCGGCCACCAUCUCCCCAAUGCGCGUCGCCACGUGCCACCUCGAUGCACCCACGGAAAACUCAUAAUUGUCAUAACAUUCGAGCUGUGCUCGCUCGAAGGAACGCCAAUACCGGCUACUCGAUCUACGAAAGUCGUGUCGCAUCUUCGGGAAAUCAUUGUCACCUUUCAUAAGGACGAGUUAAACGAUUCUAAAGUAGCGUCAUACGGACGACGUCACAAUGCACCAUUCCAAUUACAUCGAUGACGUCAAACAAGACUACUUGCAUCUUGAAUUGUCCUGAAACUAGUUCGCCAUCCUGUAUAUCUACCAUACCAUAUGUACAUAAAUAUAUGUAGUGUAUGUAUGUACGAAAUUCGAUAUAAGUAACAACGUGAUAAAAUAAAAGAGAAAAGAUGCUUGACGCAAAGAUGCGUGACGCAUCCUCGUAUCCCCUUUGCCUUGUCAGUUUUUAAUCUUCGUAUAUUCGAACAAGCAAAGUAACCAAAUCAUCAUGGCACGUGCCAAAUAUUUCCGACAGCGGUAUCUAACCACCCGCUUUUUUCGCCCCGGUUAAACAUAAUACUCUGAACGUGGCCCGGUGACUCGACAAGCUAUAUACGUACUUAAUCGGUCAAAGCAUAUCAGUGUUCUUAAAAAAAAAAAAAAAAGGGAAAAU